AUGUCGGCGAGGCGGCAUUUCGCUGUGUUCACCACGGCGAGCCUCCCGUGGAUGACGGGGACUUCCAUCAACCCGCUGUUCCGGGCGGCCUACCUUGCCAAGGAUGGGAGUAGAGACGUCACCUUGGUGAUCCCCUGGCUUUCUCUAAGGGACCAAGAGUUGGUUUACCCAAACAAGAUUGUGUUCGAUUCGCCGUUGGAGCAAGAGGGUUUUGUUCGUCGCUGGAUUGAGGAGAGGGUCGACUUCAGGCCAUCAUUCAGCAUCAAAUUCUACCCUGCUAAGUUUUCUAAAGAAAUGAGAAGCAUUCUACCUGUUGGGGAUAUCACAGAAUGCAUUCCAGAUGAAAUGGCCGAUAUUGCUGUUCUAGAGGAGCCUGAGCAUCUAAAUUGGUACCACCAUGGGCGAAGAUGGAAAAAUAAGUUCAGGCGAGUGAUAGGUGUGAUCCACACAAACUAUCUAGCAUAUGUGAGAAGAGAAAAGAAUGGACAAGUGAUUGCCUGUUGCCUCAGAUAUGCAAACACUUGGGUUACCCGAAUUUAUUGCCACAAGAUAAUCAGACUAUCAGGUGCCACUCAAGAUUUACCCAAAUCUGUUGUAUGCAAUAUCCAUGGUGUGAAUCCAAAAUUUCUUGAGGUUGGCAGGCUAAAAUUGAAGCAGCUGCAGAAUGGAGAGGCAGCCUUCACAAAAGGGGCAUACUACAUUGGGAAGAUGGUGUGGAGUAAGGGUUAUAGGGAGCUUCUUGACCUUCUGUCCAAAUAUCAGAGCAGGUUAGGUGAUCUUGAAGUAGAUUUAUAUGGUAGUGGAGAAGAUUCAGAUGAAAUCCGAGAAUCUGCAGAGCGCUUAAGUUUGGCUGUAAACGUUCACCCUGGCCGUGAUCAUGCAGAUCCAUUAUUCCAUGACUAUAAAGUAUUCAUCAACCCCAGCACAACAGAUGUGGUCUGCACGACCUCAGCUGAGGCCCUUGCAAUGGGAAAAAUUGUUAUAUGUGCCAAUCACCCUUCCAAUGAGUUCUUCAAGCAGUUCCCCAACUGCCGUAUCUACAACAACGAUGAAGAGUUUGUACAACUCACACUGAAUGCUCUAGCAGAGCAGCCUACUCCAUUAACAGAUAUGCAGAUGUAUGACUUGUCAUGGGAGGCAGCAACCGACAGAUUCAUGGAGGCUGCUGAGAUGAACCUUCCUACAGCAGAGCCAAGAAUCCAGCAAGCGUCCAAGACAUACUUCCCUACUUUUCUAAGGACUCGUAAACUGAAGCAAAGUUUGGAGGAUGCAUCAGUAUACCUGCACCAAGCACUCUCAGGGCUGGAGGUCACCCGUUGCGCCUUUGGUGCUGUUCCAAAGACGCUGCAACCAGAUGAGCAGCUUCGCAAAGAUCUUGGCUUGGCUUCUCCCCCAAAGAGAAAAAAGCAGAAACAAAAGCUGAUGACGUGA
rnacentral:rRNA from 1 species